rnacentral:rRNA from 1 species
UACGUAGGGUGCGAGCGUUGUCCGGAAUUACUGGGCGUAAAGAGUUCGUAGGCGGUUUGUCGCGUCGUUCGUGAAAAACUUGGGGCUUAACUCCAAGCGUGCGGGCGAUACGGGGCAGACUUGAGUACUACAGGGGAGACUGGAAUUCCUGGUGUAGCGGUGAAAUGCGCAGAUAUCAGGAGGAACACCGAUGGCGAAAGGCAGGUCUCUGGGCCGAUACUGACGUGAGGAGCGAAAAGCGUGGGGGAGCGAAACAGG